GACAGAGGGUGCGAACGUUGUUCGGAAUUACUGGGCGUAAAGCGCGUGUAGGCGGUCCGGUAAGUCCGCUGUGAAAGUCCGGGGCUCAACCCCGGGAGGCGGGCGGAUACUGUCGGGCUAGAGUCCGGAAGAGGCGAGUGGAAUUCCUGGUGUAGCGGUGAAAUGCGCAGAUAUCAGGAGGAACACCAAUGGCGAAGGCAGCUCGCUGGGACGGUACUGACGCUGAGGCGCGAAAGCGUGGGGAGCAAACAGG
rnacentral:rRNA from 1 species